GUGAAAACAACCACGGAAAGGCUAUGGCGGGGGAAAUCUAGUGAUUUGGAGGGACGGGUCGUAGUCUCUCGCGUUGCGCCGCCAACGAGAGAGUGGUGGGAUUGUAGCCGUGGUAGAGGGGUGGGAGGCCAGCUGCCACGCAGGGGAAUGAACUUUCGCAGGGGGAGGGAGGAAGGUUGCGGCUCCAUGGUGGAAGUGAGGCAGCCGAAUAUCAUCGCGGAGGAGAGAGAGGAGGGGUGGCGCCGCCAAGGAGGAGAGCAACGACGGGGUGCGGCGUCGAUGCAGAGGAGGGAGGUGACCCACUGCACCGCACGAUUUCCGUUCCAGGUCACUUUAAAUCAUGGAUCCGCCACUGCAACCAGUGGACCAAUCAUGGGAAGAAACCUUCUCCCACACUCACAAUCAAGGGUUUAGGCUGGUCCACACUAGGCACCCCAAAUUUUAGAAAAUGGCAUUGCUCAUGGGCCUCGCUUGUGUUAGAUGAUGUACAUACGGUAUAAGUAUAAAUCGUGUAGAGAAUCGUGUGGGUGGUAGAUUCUGUUAUCUUGUAGGUAGUUAGAAUCGGAUCCUAUAUAGAUCGAUCUAACCUAACCGACUUGAUGUAUAUCUUAUGUAAUCCUACCUUAUAUAAACACGAAUGCAUCCCUGCUAAUGUAUCAUAUGCUUAAACCAAGUUUCACAUGGUAUCAGAGCCAUCUUUUUGCAACGCAUCAAGCCAUGUCAAGCUCCUCCUCCGCCAUGGCUGCGCCUGUCGUCGCCUCUCUCGGCCACACCAUUGCUGAGAAGCUCAACCGCGAGAACAUCCUCAUCUGGAAGGCUCAAAUCCUGCCGCACAUCAAGGUGGCGGGGAUGAUUCCAUCCAAGAGCAUGCUGGCGUGAUCCUCUCGGAGAAGGAGGUCUCCAGGAAGAAGACGAUCACGGAAACACCGAACCCCGAGCACGUCGUAUGGGUUACGCAAGACCAGCAAGUCCUCACUUUUUUUAUCUCAUCGCUUUAUCACGGGAUCUUGUUGCACGUCAGCUCAUACACCACUCCUGCCACCCGUUGGAAGGCUCUACAACAGAGUUCUGCUUCGCAAUCAAGGGCGAGCAUCAUCCAGCUCCGCGCCGCCAUCAAGCACACGCGCAAGGGAGAUCUCUCUGCGGCGGCUUACUACAACAAGAUGGCGAGCAUCGCCGACGAACUGGCAGCAGCCGGUAAGCCACUCGAAGAGGAUGAUGUAAUCUCCCACAUACUGCAAGGAGUUCUCCAUGAACCUGACUACAAUAGCUUUGUUUCGGCUAUCUCUACCCGCACCGCAACCGAUCAGCCGAUCGGUUUGGUGGAACUCUUAUCCUUGCUGCUGUCGGCGGAAUCUUGCAUCACCGCUCAGAACGCGGCCUUCCCCAGCAGGCACUCCGUCAACCACGCCACUCGGGGAGGUGGUCGCGGCAACUCUGGGUGACCUGGAGGCAAUCCUGGAGAGGGCGCUCGUGGCUACGACAACAACUACACGGGCGCUCGCUACUCCAACAACUUUGGUGGCGGGCGCGGUGAUGGCUCCUCUGGAGGGGCACCGCAUCAAGGAAGUGGUGAUCGCGGUGACCAUGUGCAGGAGAAGUGUCAGAUCUGCAAGGAGAUGGGCCAUGGUGCAUGGCGCUGCAGGAUGCACUAUGAUCGCAACUACAACAACAAUGUGCGUCAUCCUGCUGGCAGUAGUGGUGGUGGUGGAAACUACUGCAAACGUUGUUCACUCCUAUGGGGUGGACACCAACUGAUAUCUCGACACCGGGGCAACGGAUCAUGUGAUAGGGGAGUUGGAGAAACUUGUUGAUCGUGAUCGCUAUACUGGCACGGACCAAAUCCACACGUCGAGUGGACAAGGAUCGGGCCAGCAGGACUACAAUUCUUCAAGGCAAGAGUAGAAGCAGUAUGUUCCCCAUCUCCGGUCGUCAAGAUGUCCCUAUGUGCCAACUGCUAAGUGUGACUAAACCAUCCACGUCACGCUGGCAUAGGCGCCUAGGACAUUCGUCCCUUCUGGUGGUUCAAAAAAUUAUACGGGUUUUUAAUCUUCGAGUGUCAAAUAAAAAGGAUCACCACUUAGUUUGUGAUGCUUGUCAAAUGGCCAAAAGCCAUCAACUUCCGUACUCUAGAUCCACUAGUGAAUCCAAAGCUCCUUUAGAGCUCGUUUUUUCUGAUGUGUGGGGUCCAGGCCCAACCUUUGUAGGCAGACAAAAAUAUUAUGUGAGUUUCAUUGAUGAUUUUAGCAAAAUUUACUUGGAUUUA